rnacentral:rRNA from 1 species
UGGGGAAUAUUGCACAAUGGGCGCAAGCCUGAUGCAGCCAUGCCGCGUGUAUGAAGAAGGCCAGCUUCGGGGUUUGUAAAGUACUUUCAGCGAGGAGGAAGGCGUUGUGGUUAAUAACCGCAGCGAUUGACGUUACUCGCAGAAGAAGCACCGGCUAACUCCGUGCCAGCAGCCGCGGUAAUACGGAGGGUGCAAGCGUUAAUCGGAAUUACUGGGCGUAAAGCGCACGCAGGCGGUCUGUCAAGUCGGAUGUGAAAUCCCCCGGGCUCAACCUGGGAACUGCAUCCGAAACUGGCAGGCUAGAGUCUUGUAGAGGGGUAGGAUUCAGGAUUGUC